CACUUCGGUGGCGAGUAGAGUGGCGGACGGGUGAGUAACGCGUAGGAAUCUGCCCUGUAGUGGGGGAUAACCCGGGGAAACUCGGGCUAAUACCGCAUACGCCCCACGGGGGAAGGCGGGGGAUCCUUCGGGACCUCGCGCUAUAGGAAGAGCCUGCGUCGGAUUAGCUAGUUGGUAGGGUAAAGGCCUACCAAGGCGACGAUCCGUAGCUGGUCUGAGAGGAUGAUCAGCCACACCGGAACUGAGACACGGUCCGGACUCCUACGGGAGGCAGCAGUGGGGAAUAUUGCGCAAUGGGCGAAAGCCUGACGCAGCCAUGCCGCGUGUGUGAAGAAGGCCUUCGGGUUGUAAAGCACUUUCAGUGGGGAGGAAAGAGCCCAGGCUAAUACCCUGGGUCGUUGACGCUACCCACAGAAGAAGCACCGGCUAAUUCCGUGCCAGCAGCCGCGGUAAUACGGAAGGUGCGAGCGUUAAUCGGAAUUACUGGGCGUAAAGCGCGCGUAGGCGGCUUGGUAAGUCGGAUGUGAAAGCCCCGGGCUCAACCUGGGAACGGCAUUCGAUACUGCUGAGCUGGAGUACGAGAGAGGGGGGUGGAAUUCCAGGUGUAGCGGUGAAAUGCGUAGAGAUCUGGAGGAACACCAGUGGCGAAGGCGGCCCCCUGGCUCGAUACUGACGCUGAGGUGCGAAAGCGUGGGGAGCAAACAGGAUUAGAUACCCUGGUAGUCCACGCUGUAAACGAUGUCUGCUAGCCGUUGGGAUCCUUGAGGUCUCGGUGGCGCAGCUAACGCGAUAAGCAGACCGCCUGGGAGUACGGCCGCAAGGUUAAAACUCAAUGAAUUGACGGGGGCCCGCACAAGCGGUGG
rnacentral:rRNA from 1 species